rnacentral:lncRNA from 1 species
UGUGUUGUUACAGCGAAAGAUGAGCAGGUUGCAAGGGCUGCUGAAGUUGUAAAUGUCGGGGGGCCAAUUGAUGAUGUUAGUAUGGAACCAAGCCAAGCAUGUGAGGGCUAGCAUCAUACAUUUUGAGAACAUAUAUUUGUUAAUUUUGUAUGUCUGAUUAUGGAAGUAAUUAAAAGUUUGUGUGUGUUCUUGCAUUAACAGGUGAGCAGGUUCCAAUCCCUACUCGAGUUGUAAAUGUUGGAGGGGCAGAUCAUAAUGUUAGUAGUGAAUCAAGCCUAGGAGGUGCUGGCCAGCAAGGUAUAAGGCUGUGAGAAUUUUUUUUGUUAGCGAAGUUCUUAAAGCAGUAAAAUGUAGAACUAAACCUGUGUUGGUGCUGCAGGAGGGUGGUUCGGCUAAUUUGGAUGAAAGUAACAAUGGUCGGAGGUUGCAACUUGGCAGCUGGAAACUGGGCUGUGGCUCAUGCACUUUCCAGUAACAGCUUCGGUAGCCGGUCAACAUGAGCCGCAAAUGCCCGCGCUAAGCGCGAAUGGCCAGAUCUGUGCAAGGGAUGGUGGGUUGGAUGCUGGGCGGGAAGGUUCACUGCGGGCGUCGGAGCAUUUGGUUGGCAAACUGAACCCGAAAGCUCCUGGGUGGGACUCAGAGGUAUGGGGAGUUGCAUUUGUAUGAACUCACAAAAUCAGUGUCUGCAUUCUGAACUGAUAAGCGUGGUAUCCGCCAUGUGAGGGUUCUAGGUAUAUUGAUGUUAGCAUCUGUAGGAAAUUGUCAGUUGGGGCAGUAUUUUUAAGAUUGGUAUUUUAAGUUGAUGCAACAAUUGUUGGAGACGCAAUUCCAUGUACGAAAUUUCAAAAUUCAGAAAAACAGUCUGAAUGUUCAUGUAUGGAGCAGACUAGGUUGGUGAUUUUUGAAUGUAGUAAGCACUGGGUUCAGUACAUCACACGCCCCCGAUGUUGAUAUCAGAAUUAAAAUAAACUUUACAAAAAAUCAAGUAGCUAACAUUUUGCAGACAAUUUUGGCUCUGUUGUUUUUCAAUGAAUCGAUGAUAAUAUGUGUGUGCAGAAUUUAGCUAGGUAGGUCAGGCAUAAGUUUUUAGAUUGACACUUUAUUGUGAUACAACUAUCUUGCUAGACGUGUUUCCAUGUACGAAAUUAAGUCAUUCCGCAGAUUCAAGCUGAAUAAUGAUUUGUGGGCGUGGUUUAUGUUUUAGUUACUUUAAUGGCCUAAUUUUUCAUGCAAGAAUUCAGAAAAGGGAUUACGAGUAUCACUUAGCAAUCAUUUGAUGUACUCAUGUUGUGCUCCUUUCAUGUUUUGCUGCUUGCAGUGUCAAUGGGACAACAAUUCUGUUACUAGUCAAUGUGAUCCUUCUGAUGUUUUAGAUUGCAAGGAAAGAGAAGACAAUGGAACAUCAGACCAUUUCUGUGAAAGAAUAUAUGUUUUUCAUUAAAGAGAUUAAUGAACUGAAAGCCCAAACGAAACAAGAGUACUCCAAUAUGGC